AUCCCUGGCUGUCCUGGAACUCAUGCCUCAAAAAAUAUCAGACAGAUUACACAGGGAGGAACUAGAGGUGAUAUGAAGAUGUUGACCAUGCUGUCUCCAACUCAGAGAUCCCCCUGCCUCUGCCUCCUGAGUGUUGGGAUUAAAGCUGUGUACCACCUCUGCCUGAAGACUUUCUUUUUUUUUUAAUUAUAAAAUUCUUUAUGGAUUUGCAUUUCAUCUUUGCACAGGGGCCAUGCUAAUCUUCUCUGUAUCCUUCCAAUUUUAGUAAGGUACAGCUGAAGCAAAUACCCUUUGGGACUAUUUUAAACUGCCCGAAUGAAGCUUUUGGUUUAAAUACUAUUAUUAGGAUUCUGUGAUGACUCUGCCUCCCUUCCAGUGAAACAUUUCCAGCAUCUGAGAAUUAGCUCGGUUUGGGGGAGAAAUGAUUUGUCUACCUAGGACAGAUAUAAAUGGAAUAAAGGAAUUGGGAGGAGGAUGCAUAAGGGAGUCCUCGUUAUUUUGUGCAGUGUCUCUCUUUUGCUACAUCUGCUCAGAGUCCUGAGAGUCCUCACAGGUAGGAGAUAAAAGGUGAGAAGAAAGAUACGGAAACGAAGAUGAGGUGGGAAGAGAUUGACAGAGUGAGUUGGAGGCACAGGCUCUCAGCUGUUUUACUUCCUGGUGCUUUAGCAGUUGAGUAGGAAGUGGGGUUGGUGUGGCGACUCCAAAGUGGCUAGCAGCUGGAACCACUUCCAAGGCUGCUGCUGACCUAGAGCUUCAAGAAGCCCUUGACGUCAGCGUGGGGUGGGGGGGCUCAACCGUUAUGCAAAUCACAUUCAGAAGACACUCCUAGACAGGCCUUUCCAGACGAAUGCCCAGACUCCAAAUCCAAUUGAAGUUUCCCCAGGUGGUUAAUGACUAUAGCUAAUAAUGAUGGCUAAUUCGUAUCUAACUCUCACUGAUCUAAGCAUUUUACGAGCAUUAAUCUAAGUCUCAGUAAAUUCUACGUCGUGCAUAUUAUAUCAUGGAUUUACUGGGGAGACUGAGGUGCAAAGAUAAGUCGUUUAACAAAGACCUCAUAGCUGGGAAAUGGCUAGCUGUAGCGCCGAACACAAAAUUCUACUUUUAAAAAUUGUUUAAAAUUAUUAUGUGUGUGCAGGUGCAUGUGUGCCUCGGGAUGCCUGUGGACAUCAGAGGACAGCUCUGUCCAGACAGCCCUCUCUUUGUACCUUUGUGUAGGUUCCAGAAAUUGACCACGGGUUGCUAGUCUUCCAACCUGGCUUUGUAUUCCACACAUGCUAGGCAAGUGUUCUACCAGCCAUUGAAUCCCCAGGAAUAAAAACAUAAGCACUACCGCACCUAGUUUAUCUUUACAUUGUCAGUCUUUGUUUGUUUGUUUUUCAAGACAGGGUUUCUCUGUAUAGCCCUGGCUGUCCUGGAACUCACUUUGUAGAUCAGGCUGGCCUCGAACUCCCCAGUGCUGGGAUUAAAGGCGUGCACCACCAUGCCCAGCUUUUUUUUUUUUUUUUUUUUUUUUUAAGAUAUACUUGUUUAUGUAUAUGAUACACUGUAGUUGUCUUCAGACACACCAGAAGAGGUUAUCAGCUCCUGUUACAGAUGGUUGUGAGCCACCAUGUGGUUGCUGGGAAUUGAACUCAGGAACUCUGGAAGAGUAGUCAGUGCUCUUAGCCGCUGAGCCAUUUCUCCAGCCCUGUAUUUUGAGUCUUCUAACUUAGCUUUAGUAACAAGGAUUAUAGACCUGUAUCAGGCUCAACCCAUAUUCUGCAGUUUAGUUCCUUGUUUUUGAGACAGUUUCUUGUUGCCCAGACUGGUUUCGGAAUGACCUUGAGCUCCUAAUCUUCCUGCCUCCACUUCCCAAGCGCUGGGGUUACAGGUGUGCUUCGCUCCAUGUAAAAUUACUGUGUCAUUAUAUUGGAUACUGUGAGGAAACUCAAGUGGAAGUAGAUUUUGAUUCAUAAAGUAGUUUAUUGAGUGAGGUCUGAUGGCACCCUUCUGUAUACCCAGUUCUGGGGUUAAUAUGAAGGGAGGAUUACAAGUUCAAGUCUAGUUUGGACUCCUUACUGAGAAUUCAGCUCAACAAACCAAAAAGUAACCGAUUUACUCCAAGUAUCUCAAGCUCCUUAACUCCCGUGGUCUGUGAGGUCUCUUUCAAUUAUGAGUCUUUAAUAUGGAGAUUUCUGUGUAGGGACUGUCUGGGUCUCUUAGCACCUAAGUCCUUGUAUGAAAAUUUAAAUCUAAGGACCAGCGAAGCCAGAGAUCCUUUGAGUUAGGUGUUCUCUAUUUUGAUGUAGGAUUUCUUGGUGUGUGGAAUACCCAAGUGCCUAUGUCCCCCUUGCCCACCCCAUUACUAUUUUAUUUUGUUUUUUUUUUUUUUUUUUAGAUAGAGUUUCAGGUAGGCUAGGCUGCAGAACAUCCAUAGAUGAAGUCCCGAUGCAUCUGCCUCAGGGUUCUUUCUUGAAGUUCUACUUGCUUGCCUUUAUUGAGAGAGAGAAAAAUCACACACACACACACACACAGAGAGAGAGAGAGAGAGAGAGAGAGACAGAGGGACAGACAGAGACAGAUAGACACUUAAAUUUAUUUAUUAUGUAUGUGUGCCACAGUAUGAAUGUGAAGACAACCACAUUGAGUCUCAGGGAUGGAACUCAGACCCUGACAGUUGGUAGCAGUAUCCUUACCUGCUGUACCAUCUUGAAAUCCUCUUUCACCUUUUUGAAAAGAAAUACAUUUUUAUUUGGAUGAGGGGGGUGUUUUGAGACAGGGUCUCACUGUCUAACCUUGGUCGGCCUAGAAUUCACUACGUAGACCAAGCUGUCCUCAAAUUCACAGAAAUCCAUUCUGCCUCCUGAGUGGUGGGAUUGCCAUCCCACUUAGCCUGGUUUUUGUUUGUUUGAAACAGGGUCUCAUGUAACCUGACUAGCCUGGGACUUGCUAUAUAGAAGAAGCUAACCUUGAACACUAAUCCUCCUGCCUCAGGAUUACUGCCAUUACAAAUAUACCUCCACUAUGCCUGGCCCAAUAAAUGCUUUAAAAGUUUUAUUAUUGGUGUUUAUUAUUGGUGAGAACUUUCUUCCACAGGCACCUGUUGAAAGGGAUAUUCACCAUGUAGCCAUAGCAAGCCUGGUCCUUACUAUCUAUGUAGCCUAGGCUGGCCUCGAAUUUGUAAGGGAUUCCUGCCUCUGCUUUAAUAAUGCAGGUAUUGUAGGUAUGGACCACUAGUGGCACAGGGCCUUUAAAAACAGAGAUGACAGAGCUGAGUUUGGGCAACCUAAGACAUCUCACAGCCUGGACCAAUUCCAAAGCAGUUUAGUACACAGCCAGUACCCCCAAAUAUUUUAGACACGGUGACACACUCUCACAGGAGAGGGAGAGGCAGUAGGAUCUCUUAGUUGGAGAUUAAUCAAGAACCCCUCAGAAUAGCUACAGCUCAGUUGACUCAGUUUACUGUUUAUCUCUCUCUUGGGGUCAAUGUCCAGCUCCACGGUCUAGGGGAAUUUUGACAGUCUAGGAGACUUGUUUCUUGGGAAAAUUAGGGGACCUCUGGGGACGACACAAACAUUGAUGGGAAUUUCAGAUGGAUGCCUCUAGAAAUAGAGAAAAGGUGGCCACUUGGGCCACACUAGAAGUCAGGCUCCCGCUUCCUUUUUCUUCCCCACAUCUAGAAGUCAUAGGAAAUGCCAGUGAGUUUCGGGGGUACAGGGUCAGAGGUAUUGGAAUGGCUCACAGGCACAGCAAGAUGAAGGUCUAUACGCCGGGAAUGAUGAAGGCCACGCUGGGAAUACCCACCGGGCGAGUCCCAGUGCUUAGCCUCUGGCGCCCCUUUAGUCUAGUUCUUAUUCAGGGAGCGUAAAAGCUUGGCUUCAAAGUCUAAAGUUAAUUUUGCUUAACAAAGCCUGAGAGCGAAGGGAUUACUUUUCGUAACACCAAAUAGAUCCGCGCCUGAUUCAGUUUGUCCCCGGUGGCAUUCCGUAACCUUGUUUUGGCGGAGGCUACGUCACUCUCCUUCUCAGGCGCUGCCUGUACCUGGCUUUUUCUGAUUGGCUGGGAUGAGCCCGUGGCCCCCGCUGAUUGGAAGCGAUGGCUGCCAAUCCACCGUCCGUCUUGCUUGGGUUAGGUUGAGCUAGAGGCGGGGGAGUAGUAGGGAAACUGGAAUUUCCCGCGGAGCUGACGGCGCUUUCUCUACCCCCUACUCGUUUGAAUUCCACGCGCUCCAAAAUAUCCGCCAUGGAGAAAUCUUGGCCAGAAUGUCCAUUCUAGGUUCACUGGUGCUGUCCUCCUGAAGGCUGGGUCACUUGUCUGUAGGAAGCGUGGCAAGGGAGGGUGUGACUCCGGUCUGACCAGCGGCCACUAUCGUCAUGAACUUUGAGGGUCUGGAUCCUGGACUGGCCGAAUUUUCCCCAGCUAUGCAUUCUACCCUGGACCCAGUCCUGGAUGCCCACCUGAAUCCAAGUUUGCUACAGAAUGUGGAGCUAGACCCAGAGGGAGUGGCCUUGGAGGCUCUUCCUGUCCAGGAGUCAGUGCACAUAAUGGAAGGUGUCUACUCUGAGUUGCACAGCGUGGUGGCUGAAGUGGGAGUGCCUGUGUCUGUCUCCCACUUUGAUUUACAUGAGGAGAUGCUGUGGGUGGGGAGCCAUGGGGGCCAUGCCACCUCCUUCUUCGGCCCAGCUCUGGAGCGCUACUCAUCCUUUCAGGUCAAUGGUGGUGACGACAUUCGGCAAAUCCAGAGCCUGGAGAACGGUAUCCUCUUCCUCACCAAGAACAACCUCAAGUACAUGGCCCGUGGAGGGCUCAUUAUAUUUGACUAUUUGCUGGAUGAAAACGAGGAUAUGCACAGCGUCCUCCUGACAGACAACAGCACUCUGCUCGUUGGGGGGCUGCAGAACCACGUACUGGAGAUUGACCUGAACACUGUCCAGGAGACUCAGAAGUAUGCAGUCGAGACACCCGGAGUCACCAUCAUGAGACAGACAAAUCGUUUCUUCUUCUGUGGCCACACAUCUGGCAAGGUUUCCCUGCGAGACCUCCGUAGUUUUAAAGUGGAGCAUGAAUUUGAUGCCUUCUCAGGGAGUCUGUCAGAUUUUGAUGUUCAUGGCAACCUGCUGGCUGCCUGCGGCUUCUCCAGUCGCCUUACCGGCCUGGCCUGUGACCGUUUCCUCAAAGUGUACGAUCUGCGCAUGAUGCGUGCCAUCACACCUCUUCAAGUGCACGUGGAUCCGGCCUUCUUACGAUUCAUCCCCACAUACACUUCCCGCCUUGCUAUCAUCUCCCAGUCAGGUCAAUGCCAGUUUUGUGAACCCACAGGCCUGGCCAACCCAGCCGACAUUUUCCAUGUGAAUCCCGUGGGACCUUUGCUAAUGACGUUUGAUGUGUCAGCCAGCAAGCAGGCCCUGGCCUUUGGGGAUUCUGAGGGCUGCGUGCAUCUCUGGACUGAUUCCCCUGAGCCGUCCUUCAACCCCUACUCCCGAGAGACUGAGUUUGCCCUGCCCUGUCUUGUGGACUCCUUGCCGCCUCUGGACUGGAGCCAGGAUCUGCUGCCGCUUUCCCUCAUUCCCGUCCCACUUACCACUGAUGCACUGCUCUCUGACUGGCCUGCUGCCAACUCUGCUCCCGCUCCCAGGCGAGCACCACCUGUGGAUGCAGAAAUUCUUCGAACCAUGAAGAAAGUGGGCUUCAUUGGCUAUGCUCCCAACCCUCGCACCAGGCUGCGCAACCAGAUUCCCUAUCGACUAAAGGAGUCAGACCAUGAAUUUGACAACUUCAGCCAAGUCACGGAGUCACCGACAGGGCGAGAAGAGGAGCCUCUCCACACAGUUUCUAAGAAAUACCGGAAGGUAACCAUCAAAUAUUCCAAGCUAGGCCUGGAAGACUUUGACUUCAAACACUACAAUAAGACUCUGUUUGCUGGGUUAGAGCCUCACAUCCCCAAUGCCUACUGUAACUGCAUGAUCCAGGUGCUCUAUUUCUUGGAGCCUGUUCGCUGUCUGAUCCAGAACCACCUUUGCCAAAAGGAGUUCUGCCUAGCGUGCGAGCUCGGCUUCCUCUUCCACAUGCUAGACCUCUCUCGUGGCGAUCCUUGUCAGGGCAGUAAUUUCCUCCGAGCUUUCCGGACCAUCCCUGAGGCCUCAGCUCUGGGUCUCAUCCUUGCUGACUCAGAUGAGGCUUCAGGCAAGGGCAGUCUGGCCCGGCUCAUCCAGAGGUGGAACCGCUUCAUCCUCACUCAGCUACAUCAGGAUAUGCAGGAGCUGGAAGUGCCCCAGGCUUAUCGAGGUGCUGGAGGCAGCAGUUUCUGCUCAUCAGGAGACUCCAUCAUUGGGCAGCUGUUCAGUUGUGAGAUGGAGAACUGCAGUCUUUGCCGCUGCGGCAGCGAGACUGUGCGGGCCUCGUCCACCCUACUCUUCACACUCUCCUACCCUGAGGGUAGCAUCUGUGAUAAAACCGGGAAGAACUAUGACUUUGCUCAGGUGCUGAAGCGAAGUAUCUGCCUGGAGCAGAACACACAGGCCUGGUGUGACAACUGUGAGAAGUACCAGCCCACAGUGAAUUCAGACCAGAAACAUCCGACAUCUGCCAGAUAUUCUUGUCAUUAACUGUGAAGUGAAUAGCUCAAAAGAGGCUGAUUUCUGGAGACUGCAAGCUGAGGUUGCCUUCAAAAUAGCGGUGAAAAAGUACGGCGGGGAAAUGAAGAGCAAAGAGUUUGCUUUAGCUGAUCGGAAGGAACUGAGGAGUCCAGAGGGCUUUCUGUGUUCCUCCAUCGAGGAGCUGAAGAAUGUCUGGCUUCCAUUUUCCAUCCGCAUGAAGAUGACCAAGAACAAAGGACUGGAUGUUUGCAACUGGGCUGACGAGCAUGAGCUUAGCAGCCUGGGUGCCCCCUCACAGUGGGGUCCGGCCAGGGCAGAGGAGGAGCUUGGUGUCUAUGUAUAUGACCUGAUGGCUACUGUGGUACACAUCCUGGACUCACGAACAGGCGGCAGCUUGGUGGCUCACAUCAAAGUCGGUGAGACCUACCACCAGCGCAAGGAGGGCGUGACUCAUCAGCAGUGGUAUCUCUUCAAUGACUUCCUUAUUGAACCUAUUGAUAAGUAUGAAGCCGUGCAGUUUGACAUGAAUUGGAAAGUACCUGCUAUCCUGUAUUAUGUCAAAAGGAAUCUCAAUUCCAGAUACAAUCUGAAUAUCAAGAACCCCAUUGAGGCCAGUGUGCUGCUGGCAGAAGCCUCGCUGGCACGGAAGCAACGGAAAACACACACGACCUUUAUUCCAUUGAUGCUGAAUGAGAUGCCACAGGUCGGGGACCUGGUGGGCCUGGAUGCCGAGUUUGUCACUCUUAAUGAGGAAGAAGCAGAGUUACGCAGUGAUGGUACCAAGUCCACCAUUAAGCCAAGCCAGAUGUCAGUAGCAAGGAUCACCUGUGUUCGGGGCCAAGGGCCUAACGAGGGCAUCCCCUUCAUUGAUGACUACAUCUCCACGCAGGAGCAGGUAGUAGAUUACUUGACUCAGUACUCGGGGAUAAAGCCAGGAGACCUUGAUGCCAAAAUCUCCUCAAAGCACCUCACAACCCUCAAGUCUACCUACUUAAAGCUUCGCUUUCUCAUUGAUAUUGGAGUCAAGUUUGUGGGUCAUGGUCUGCAGAAGGACUUCCGGGUCAUCAACCUCAUGGUUCGGGCAGGGCUUAUUUCAGAGUGUGUUUUUUGUUGUUGUUGUCUUCCUUUGUUUCUUGUUUGGGUUUUGUUGUUGUUGUUGUUUUGACACAAUGUCUCACUAAGCAGCUCUGGCUGCCCUGUAACUAGUUAAGUUAAGCAGACCGGCUUUGAACUCACAGAGGUUCGCCUGCCUCCUCCUGAGUGUUAGAACUGAAGGUGUAUAUUACCAUCCCUAGCACCCCCCUCCCUCUAAUAUACAGCCUUCUUCCAACCCAACUUGCUCCGACCAUCUUCAUUCACUCACCAUACUUUAAAAAACAAAAUUAAGUUUAUUUGGUGUGUGUGCGCUCAUACACACCUCCUCCUGCAAGUACUGAGUUACACGUGUAGAGGUCAAAGAUCAGCUUGUGCACGUCAACUCUCUCCUUCCAUCUCGUGGGUCCUGGGAACUGAAGUAAGGUUGUCAGGCUUGGUGGCAAAUGCCUUUACCUGCUGAGCCACCUUGCUGACCUCGGAGUUACUCUUCUGGCUGACUACUCAGGGCAUAUAUCUGAAUUCAGAGAAUGGGAGGUUCUGGAUCAUCUGUCUCAAGGCUUCUUUUCUUCUGGUCCCUGCUAGGUGCCCAAGGACCAAGUUCUUGACACAGUCUACCUGUUCCACAUGCCCCGAAAACGAAUGAUUUCCCUACGAUUCCUGGCCUGGUAUUUUCUAGACCUGAAGAUUCAAGGUGAGACCCAUGACAGCAUUGAGGAUGCCCGCACAGCCCUUCAACUCUACCGGAAGUAUCUGGAGCUGAGCAAGAACGGCACCGAGCCCGAGUCCUUCCACAAGGUGCUCAAGGGUCUCUAUGAGAAGGGCCGAAAGAUGGACUGGAAGGUGCCUGAGCCUGAAAGCCAGACAAGUCCCAAGAAUGCAGCUGUCUUCUCAGUGCUGGCACUGUGAGCUGCCUUCCCUUUCAGUGCUGUCCCCAGAACUGAGAGGUGGCUUCUCAAGUCGGCUUUACCCUGUCCACUUCCAGAACUGGAUCUGCUCAGGGUCUACAGAUGGUGCUAUUAAUAGAACUGGAAAGCAGCAAAAUUGUUGCAAAGGUUCUAGCUGCCAGAUUCCCCCUUUAUCCUCUGCAAAACAGUGGGCCAGAAACAAAGCCUAAAGUGACCCAGGUGGAGUGAUUGGUGUUCGUAAUAAAUAUCCUGGGCAACUGAUAUCUGUACAAAAGAGCUCUAGAACCAGAACUCUCAGUUCCCAGUCUGCUAGAGAACUGAAGUCCUGGACAGUCACAGGGUACAGAGACCCAGGCAGCUCCAGCAUCUAGCUGCUUGAGAGACGGUGGCUGGGUGGACCAGCUUGUAGAGUCUCAAUGGGCCAAUCAAACCGGUGUGCAGGAAGCUGAGCUACUGGCUUCAUUCCUGACCACAGCUGAGAAGUAUCUGUCUUCCAUACAUUCUAUCUCGAGUUUUGUUUUAUUUUUUAAAAAUUUUGCUUAAAACAGCAUGUUUUAUAAAAUAAAAGUAUUUUUAUCUCAUUAGAAAA